rnacentral:rRNA from 1 species
GCUGGCAAAUCUUCCUGUGACUCAACCCUGCUUAGUACUUGGAUGGAAAAUCUCCUGGGAAUGCCAGGUUUUGUAGGCU